UGCAGUCGAGCGAGAAAGGGGACUUCGGUUCCUGAGUAAAGCGGCGGACGGGUGAGUAACACGUGGGUAAUCUGCCCUCGGGUGGGGAAUAACUCAGGGAAACCUGGGCUAAUUCCGCAUAACACUUUCGAUACAUAAGUAUUGAGAAUCAAAGCUGGGGACCCUUCGGGGCCUGGCGCCUGAGGAGGAGCCCGCGGCCAAUUAGCUUGAUGGUGAGGUAACGGCCCACCAUGGCUACGAUUGGUAGCCGGCCUGAGAGGGCGUACGGUCACACUGGGACUGAGACACGGCCCAGACUCCUACGGGCAGCAGUGGGGAAUUUUUGUCAAUGGGGGAAACCCUGAACAAGCAACGCCGCGUGAAGGACGAAGACCUUCGGGUUGUAAACUUCUGUCGGAGGGGACGAAAGCUUUUGUGGUUAAUACCCAUGAUUGUUGACGGUACCCUAUGAGGAAGCCCCGGCUAACUCCGUGCCAGCAGCCGCGGUAAUACGGGGGGGGCAAGCGUUGUUCGGAAUUACUGGGCGUAAAGGGCGCGUAGGCGGGCGGGAAAGUCUUUCGUGAAAUCCCACGGCUCAACCGUGGAACUGCGGGAGAUACUACUCGUCUUGAGUUCG
rnacentral:rRNA from 1 species